rnacentral:rRNA from 1 species
UACGAAGGGGGCUAGCGUUGCUCGGAAUUACUGGGCGUAAAGCGCACGUAGGCGGCUUUCUAAGGCGGAGGUGAAAUCCUGGAGCUCAACUCCAGAACUGCCUUCGAUACUGGAAAGCUCGAGUCCGGGAGAGGUGAGUGGAACUGCGAGUGUAGAGGUGAAAUUCGUAGAUAUUCGCAAGAACACCAGUGGCGAAGGCGGCUCACUGGCCCGGUACUGACGCUGAGGUGCGAAAGCGUGGGGAGCAAACAGG